rnacentral:rRNA from 1 species
AUUGAACGCUGGCGGCAGGCCUAACACAUGCAAGUCGAACGGUAACAGGAAGAAGCUUGCUUCUUUGCUGACGAGUGGCGGGCGGGUGAGUAAUGUCUGGGAAACUGCCUGAUGGAGGGGGAUAACUACUGGAAACGGUAGCUAAUACCGCAUAAUGUCGCAAGACCAAAGAGGGGGACCUUCGGGCCUCUUGCCAUCGGAUGUGCCCAGAUGGGAUUAGCUAGUAGGUGGGGUAACGGCUCACCUAGGCGACGAUCCCUAGCUGGUCUGAGAGGAUGACCAGCCACACUGGAACUGAGACACGGUCCAGACUCCUACGGGAGGCAGCAGUGGGGAAUAUUGCACAAUGGGCGCAAGCCUGAUGCAGCUAUGCCGCGUGUAUGAAGAAGGCCUUCGGGUUGUAAAGUACUUUCAGCGGGGAGGAAGGGAGUAAAGUUAAUACCUUUGCUCAUUGACGUUACCCGCAGAAGAAGCACCGGCUAACUCCGUG